AUAUCACCAGAAGACUCUAGCUUGAAAAACCAUCUUCACCGACGAAGAUGCGCCAAGAAGUUUUCAUUUUCCAUGGGGAUUUAAGCCCAUAUAACGCCUCAUUGGUGAAUUUAAGUCUGAGGUUCAAUCAAAGUAAGACACAGGGACUGACCAUUUGACAUCGUUUCUCCAACUCUUUGCUUUGAACUGCUUGCAAAACUCACGGACACAACAGCUUAGCCUUCACGUGAGCUGAACUCAGAACUUGCAGACUAGAAAAUAGUAAAUCUUCCUUUCCUCUCUGAUUUCUGGAACUAUGAAUAAUAUAAUUCCCAAAAGGGAUUAUUGAACAGAGGAAAAUUACAAUAAUGCAUCUAUUUUUAUCUUUAUUCCUUUUCUGUUCAAUUUAUUGGGCUGCUCAAAACCCAUAACCCCGUUAUUUUAAAAAAAAUGUUGAAACUUUGAGGUGAUGAGAUCCAACGUGAACUCCCUCAGCUCCUCUUCCACCUAAACUUCAGUGAAUCAGCAUCGAAAUGCAAAACCCAGUUCAAUAAGCAACCGCCCCAUUUGCUUGCUUUGCCUCAAGAAUCAAACCAAGCAGUACUAGUGCAACCAGAGAAGUGUGUUACAAGUGAAAGAAA